rnacentral:rRNA from 1 species
AUUGAACGCUGGCGGCAUGCUUUACACAUGCAAGUCGAACGGCAGCGCGGGCUUCGGCCUGGCGGCGAGUGGCGAACGGGUGAGUAAUACAUCGGAACGUGCCCCGUAGUGGGGGAUAGCUCGGCGAAAGCCGGACUAAUACCGCAUACGACCUGAGGGUGAAAGCGGGGGAUCUUCGGACCUCGCGCUCUUGGAGGGGCCGAUGGCAGAUUUGCUAGUUGGUGGGGUAAAGGCCUACCAAGGCGACGAUCUGUAGGUGGUCUGAGAGGACGACCAGCCACACUGGGACGGAGACACGGCCCAGACUCCUACGGGAGGCAGCAGUGGGGAAUUUUGGACAAUGGGCGAAAGCCUGAUCCAGCAAUGCCGCGUGUGUGAUGAAGGCCUUCGGGUUGUAAAGCACUUUUGGCGGGAACGAAAAGUACUGUGCCAAUACCACGGUUCGAUGACGGUACCCGCAGAAUAAGCACCGGCUAACUACGUG